UCUUAUCUCACAUGUUUACAAGUUAAAAUGUGGAGCAGAGGGUAUACAACCCAAACAAGUUUGGCACUCUGAACGAUUUAACUCAAGUGAGCAUUGUGCGAGGCCAU
rnacentral:pre_miRNA from 1 species